GUCAGAGUUUAGGUUACCAUCUUCUUUUCCCCUCCUUAUUUCUUCCAUUUAUCUUGGUUUAUUCUUUCAUCUUCAUCUAGUGCAAGGUUAAUGUAUCAAAUCCGGAUGGUAUUGAAAGAAUGUUUAUAUGAACGGUUAGGUGGUGACGACAACGAUGUGGUUAAUGUUAUUUUCUAGUCCGGGCGGGAGAUUUAGCGACCGGUCAGGCGAUAAACCAUGUACAACGGUGGUGUGAAUAUGCUUCUAAAAAUGUCAAAAUCCAUAUAUGUGGUUGAAUUUACCAAGAUGGUGUAUCAGUUGUUCCGCCUUAAAGCUAAAUCUAUCACACAAGCAAAGAAUUUGCCGAAUGAUAUAAUGCAGUAUCUUGCUGCAUGUUCUUAUGAUGGCUGAGGAGCAGACAGAUUGUCGUGGGGCGGAGAAAGGAAGGUCUUAUCAUAUUUGUGUUUUUCCUGAAAUACUGUGGUCGAACCGGAUCCAGAAUAUGGUGGCUAUGAGGUAUAUAUUGUUGCUUGAAUCCCGAGAUGAAAUCCUCAAAAACUAUCGGUUUCUGUCUCAAGCAUAGUGGCUGAUCCUUGUGGCAUCAUGAUGUCAUCAUGAGUUUGGACAAAUUUGUCUCCGAAAGUUUAGCAACUCUAAUGGAGAAUUCAUAUUUGACCAUUCUUGGGUUGAUGCCUACUACAGGUGUGUUGUACCAUAUCAUCUAAAACUACAGUUUUGUGAGCCUUUUACUCGAUUAGCUAAGGUGAUAUCUGCCACGCAUGGUUGGGUUUAAGAGGAAGCGUAGAUGGUAUUCAUGUUGCUGUUGCCGAUUGAGGGGUUAUCAUCAGUGGAAUGAGUAUAUGUGCAUGUGAAUGCUUUGCUCAAUGUUGUGACUGUUGGCUAGGAUACUAGAAUGAGUUAUGGCUUCCCCAAUGUCUUUGUAUAGGUAUGCUUGGCCAAAUCCAGACAACCUUUGUCAGGUUGAGCGUACUAUAUUACCUAUUAAUGGUGUACACAUCAAUUUAUAAUGUUAAAUUCAUUUCGAAAUUU